UCCGAACUUUCUUGAAUUGAAUAUCUAGUCUGUAUUCAUUUACAAGCAUAGCGAACCAGAAGAGUGUUAAAAAUUUAGUAUAAUAUAUAUCUAAUAUUUUACAACUUUAGCACUGGGUUCAGAAUGUAAACAAAGGGUUUGACGGUUUGUUACUUUGUUUACAUUACAUACUUUACAUGGCCUUUAAUGAAACCUUUUUUGGCUACUAACACCAAUGUUUCUGACAGAGUUGUACAGGAAAUACUGUAAACAGAAACAAUAUAUUAUAUUAUCAAACAAUUCUAACAAACUAUGCAAAGCAUACUCUUUCUAAUAAAGGUGCUGAU